rnacentral:misc_RNA from 1 species
GUUCGAUUGGCACCUGAGUAACGCGCAGACGUGGGUCAGUGCGGCGCUUACGGAUGAGAACACAUGUUUGGAUAGCUUGGCGGAGGACCGCCGCGCCGCCGGAGUGAGGGCGGCGAUAAGGGCGAGGAUUGUGGAGGUGGCGAGGGUGACGAGUAAUGCGCUUGCGCUGGUGAAUCGGCUCGGAGAGAAAAAAUGAUGGGUUGACUCGGCCGA